rnacentral:misc_RNA from 1 species
GAGUAGAAGAACAAUGCUGGAGACAGAAGAGCUUGGUGUUUCAAUUCUUCAAGAUCUGCAUCAACAACGCCAGUCCCUCUUGCAUGCAAAUAACACACUUCAUGGGGUGGAUGAUAAUAUUGGCAAGAGCAGGAAAAUCCUGACAGCAAUGUCGAAAAGGAUGGACAAGAACAAGUGGAUCAUCGGCAGCAUCAUCGUCGUUCUGGUUCUUGCCAUUCUUCUCAUCCUAUACUUCAAGCUUGCCCAUUGAUUUGUUAGUCCGUUUAUGUAUGCUGUGCUAAAUGUGCCAGUACAUCGU